rnacentral:rRNA from 1 species
AUGAGGCGAACCGGGGGAACUGAAACAUCUAAGUACCCCGAGGAAAAGAAAUCAACCGAGAUUCCCCCAGUAGCGGCGAGCGAACGGGGAGCAGCCCAGAGCCUGAAUCAGUAUGUGUGUUAGUGGAAGCGUCUGGAAAGGCGCGCGAUACAGGGUGACAGCCCCGUACACAAAAAUGCACAUGCUGUGAGCUCGAUGAGUAGGGCGGGACACGUGGUAUCCUGUCUGAAUAUGGGGGGACCAUCCUCCAAGGCUAAAUACUCCUGACUGACCGAUAGUGAACCAGUACCGUGAGGGAAAGGCGAAAAGAACCCCGGCGAGGGGAGUGAAAAAGAACCUGAAACCGUGUACGUACAAGCAGUGGGAGCACGCUUAGGCGUGUGACUGCGUACCUUUUGUAUAAUGGGUCAGCGACUUAUAUUCUGUAGCAAGGUUAACCGAAUAGGGGAGCCGAAGGGAAACCGAGUCUUAACUGGGCGUUAAGUUGCAGGGUAUAGACCCGAAACCCGGUGAUCUAGCCAUGGGCAGGUUGAAGGUUGGGUAACACUAACUGGAGGACCGAACCGACUAAUGUUGAAAAAUUAGCGGAUGACUUGUGGCUGGGGGUGAAAGGCCAAUCAAACCGGGAGAUAGCUGGUUCUCCCCGAAAGCUAUUUAGGUAGCGCCUCGUGAAUUCAUCUCCGGGGGUAGAGCACUGUUUCGGCAAGGGGGUCAUCCCGACUUACCAACCCGAUGCAAACUGCGAAUACCGGAGAAUGUUAUCACGGGAGACACACGGCGGGUGCUAACGUCCGUCGUGAAGAGGGAAACAACCCAGACCGCCAGCUAAGGUCCCAAAGUCAUGGUUAAGUGGGAAACGAUGUGGGAAGGCCCAGACAGCCAGGAUGUUGGCUUAGAAGCAGCCAUCAUUUAAAGAAAGCGUAAUAGCUCACUGGUCGAGUCGGCCUGCGCGGAAGAUGUAACGGGGCUAAACCAUGCACCGAAGCUGCGGCAGCGACGCUGAUGCGUUGUUGGGUAGGGGAGCGUUCUGUAAGCCUGCGAAGGUGUGCUGUGAGGCAUGCUGGAGGUAUCAGAAGUGCGAAUGCUGACAUAAGUAACGAUAAAGCGGGUGAAAAGCCCGCUCGCCGGAAGACCAAGGGUUCCUGUCCAACGUUAAUCGGGGCAGGGUGAGUCGACCCCUAAGGCGAGGCCGAAAGGCGUAGUCGAUGGGAAACAGGUUAAUAUUCCUGUACUUGGUGUUACUGCGAAGGGGGGACGGAGAAGGCUAUGUUGGCCGGGCGACGGUUGUCCCGGUUUAAGCGUGUAGGCUGGUUUUCCAGGCAAAUCCGGAAAAUCAAGGCUGAGGCGUGAUGACGAGGCACU